UCUUGUCGAACCCGAAACCAAUGAAAAAUAUGCUGAAAUUCAAGAGCUUGUACAAUCUGAACCGUCUCUUACUAAUAUUGAGGUAGUGGAACGGUGCUUUGGACUUCAAUGCAAAAGUCAUGCAGUUGGAUUUGGUGGUGGGAUAACCACUAAGGAGUUGAAAGGUGGUAGUACUUCUAAGGCUGUGUUGUUGGAAGAACUGAAAACAACUCGAAAAGAAAAGGAAUCACUACAAAAGCGUAUUGAUAUUCUAGAGAGUAAAUAUGAUCGCCUUGAAAGUAUAGUGGUUCGUCAGCAUCCAUCACGUUCAUCACCUCCACCAGAUGAAGAAUGUGAUGAAAAUUAAAGGACGUGUUGUUGAAGAAUUGUGGAGCUAGCUGAAAAGAAAGAUUAUAUUUUUAUUGUUGGUGUAGAUCUAGAGACGUUUGAACCUAUAUAUGCAACUAUUUCAUUUUCUCAAUUUUUAGGAUUCGAUAGAUGCCGAACAUGUCUGUUUUAUAAUAUUUAUGUCGAACAUCUAUGUUAUUUAGAUCUUAAGUUGAACAUGUAUGUUUUUUAGAUAUUGUGUUGAACACAUAUUUAUAUGUAAGUUUUUCAGUAUGUUUU